rnacentral:rRNA from 1 species
CAGUCGCCGCGGUAAUACGAAGGGGGCUAGUGUUGCUCGGAAUCACUGGGCGUAAAGGGUGCGUAGGCGGGUCUUUAAGUCAGGGGUGAAAUCCUGGAGCUCAACUCCAGAACUGCCUUUGAUACUGGAAAUCUUGAGUCCGGGAGAGGUGAGUGGAACUGCGAGUGCAGAGGUGAAAUUCGUAGAUAUUCGCAAGAACACCAGUGGCGAAGGCGGCUCACUGGCCCGGUACUGACGCUGAGGCGCGAAAGCGUGGGGAGCAAACAGGAUUAGAUACCCGGGUAGUCCCUGUCUCUUAUAC